UUGACAGGGGCGUUACACCUGUUAAACUGUAAUGCAGGUUUCCUAAGGCAAGCUCAGGGAGGACAGAAACCUCCUGCGGAGCAGAAGGGCAAAAGCUUGCUUAAACUUGAUUUUCAGUUCAAUACAGACAGUCAAAGCGGGGCCUCACAAUCCUUCUGACUUUUUGGGUUUUAAGCAGG